rnacentral:rRNA from 1 species
AGUGAAUGCUAGGGGUAUGCUUAACACAUGCAAGUUGAACGGAACAUCUGUUUAGUAGCGUACGGGUGAGUAAUAUAGGAGAACCAAGCACUAAGUUCGGAACAAGAGAUAUGUCUGUAUAAAUGCCGGAUAUUGAAAGAUUUAUCGCUUAGUGUGGGGCUCCUAUGGGAUUAGGUUGUUGGUUGUGUAAUGGACAACCAAGCCAGGGAUCCCUAGUUGGUCUGAGAGGAUGAUCAGCCACACUGGGACUGAAACAAGGCCCAGACUUCCAUGGAGGGCAGCAGUGAGGAGUAUUGGACAAUGGGCGCAAGCUUGAUCCAGCAAUGCCGCGUGAGUGAAGAAGGCCUCGGUU